rnacentral:lncRNA from 1 species
AAACAAAUUCGUGGUCAGAAUUCAGUCUCUCAUUUCUACAAAAAACACUUCUCACCAUCUUUCUUCCCAAAUCCAAUUUCUUAAGAAUCAAAAUCAUGGCUUCUUCUUCUUACUUUCAACUCUCAAGUCUUCAAAUUCAAACCCCACCUCUAAAAAAAUCCAACUUUUUUGGUCAAUCUCACAAUCUUAACCUUAGUAAUAU